GUAGGGAAUCUUCCGCAAUGGACGAAAGUCUGACGGAGCAACGCCGCGUGAGUGAAGAAGGUCUUCGGAUCGUAAAGCUCUGUUGUCAGGGAAGAACAAGUGCCCUUCGAACAGGGCGGUACCUUGACGGUACCUGACGAGGAAGCCACGGCUAACUACGUGCCAGCAGCCGCGGUAAUACGUAGGUGGCAAGCGUUGUCCGGAAUUAUUGGGCGUAAAGCGCGCGCAGGCGGUUCCUUAAGUCUGAUGUGAAAUCUCGCGGCUCAACCGCGAGCGGCCAUUGGAAACUGGGGAACUUGAGUGCAGGAGAGGGGAGCGGAAUUCCACGUGUAGCGGUGAAAUGCGUAGAGAUGUGGAGGAACACCAGUGGCGAAGGCGGCUCUCUGGCCUGUAACUGACGCUGAGGCGCGAAAGCGUGGGGAGCGAACAGGAUUAGAUACCCGGGUAGUCC
rnacentral:rRNA from 1 species